rnacentral:rRNA from 1 species
UACGAAGGGGGCUAGGCGUUGCUCGGAAUCACUGGGCGUAAAGGGGUGCGUAGGCGGGUCGUUUUAAGUCAGGGGUGAAAUCCGUGGAGCUCAACUCCAGAACUGCCUUUGAUACUGAAGAUCUUGAGUUCGGGAGAGGUGAGUGGAACUGCGAGUGUAGAGGUGAAAUUCGUAGAUAUCAAGCAGAACACCUGCGGCGAAGGCGGCCUUCUGGACGAUGACUGACGCUGGAGACGCGGAAAGCGUGGGGGGCAAACAGG